rnacentral:rRNA from 1 species
CUUCUCUCUCACCAGUUGCCACCGGGCCGGAGAGGGGGAAAAAAGGGAAUCUGCUCGCCGCCGUCGCCGAUGGAGUCCGUCGCGAUCGCCACCACCUCCCGCGCCCUGCCGCCGCCCUUCCCCUCCGCGGCUCCCCGGCGCCGGCGCCGCGCCGCCUCCUUCGUCCCGGUCGCAGCCGCCUCCAAGCGGAGAGACGGCGGCGAGGGGGAGGAUGCCGGAGCCCACAAGCCGUCCAGGCGGCCGUCUUCGGGGGCCGAGCCCACAGGCCUCGCGCCGUACGGCCUCUCCUUCUCGCCCUUCUCCAAGGACGCUGCCAUGGGGCUGGUGAUGAGCGCCGCGACGGGGAGCGGCUGGACGACAGGGUCGGGGAUGGAGGGCCCACCGAUGGCCGGCGGCGCCGCGAACCGGCCGGAGGUGUCGACGCUGCCGUGGUCGCUCUUCACAAAGUCCCCGCGGCGGCGGAUGCGGGUGGCCUUCACCUGCAACGUCUGCGGGCAGCGCACCACGCGCGCCAUCAACCCGCACGCCUACACCGACGGCACCGUGUUCGUUCAGUGCUGCGGCUGCAACAUCUUCCACAAGCUGGUGGACAACCUGAACCUGUUCCACGAGAUGAAGUGCUACGUCGGGCCCGACUUCCGCUACGAGGGGGACGCUCCGUUCAACUACCUUGAGGGUGGGGACGACGGCGGCGGCAACAUCUUCCCACUUCUCUAG